rnacentral:rRNA from 1 species
UCUAAGCACGAAACUUGCCCCGAGAUGAGUUCUCCCUGAGACUUUAAGUCUCCUGAAGGAACGUUGAAGACGACGACGUUGAUAGGUCGGGUGUGUAAGCGCAGCGAUGCGUUGAGCUAACCGAUACUAAUGAACCGUGAGGCUUAACCUU